rnacentral:rRNA from 1 species
UGGGGGAUAUUGCACAAUGGGCGAAAGCCUGAUGCAGCAACGCCGCGUGAGGGAAGACGGUUUUCGGAUUGUAAACCUCUGUCUUCGGUGAAGAAACAAAUGACGGUAGCCGAGGAGGAAGCCACGGCUAACUACGUGCCAGCAGCCGCGGUAAUACGUAGGUGGCGAGCGUUGUCCGGAAUUACUGGGUGUAAAGGGAGCGCAGGCGGGGAAACAAGCCAGCUGUGAAAACUAUGGGCUUAACCCAUAAACUGCAGUUGAAACUGUUUUUCUUGAGUGGAGUAGAGGUAGGCGGAAUUCCGAGUGUAGCGGUGAAAUGCGUAGAUAUUCGGAGGAACACCAGUGGCGAAGGCGGCCUACUGGGCUCUAACUGACGCUGAGGCUCGAAAGCGUGGGUAGCAAACA